rnacentral:rRNA from 1 species
UAUCCUGGCUCAGGAUGAACGCUAGCGGCAGGCCUAAUACAUGCAAGUCGAACGAGAUUGGAGGGCUUGCUCUCCAUGAAAGUGGCGCACGGGUGCGUAACGCGUAUGCAACCUACCUUAAUCAGGGGGAUAGCCUCUCGAAAGAGAGAUUAACACCGCAUAAAAUCACAGUACAGCAUUGUACAAUGAUCAAAUAUUUAUAGGAUUAAGAUGGGCAUGCGUGACAUUAGCUAGUUGGUAAGGUAACGGCUUACCAAGGCAACGAUGUCUAGGGGAUCUGAGAGGAUGACCCCCCACACUGGUACUGAGACACGGACCAGACUCCUACGGGAGGCAGCAGUAAGGAAUAUUGGUCAAUGGGCGCAAGCCUGAACCAGCCAUGCCGCGUGCAGGAAGACGGCCCUACGGGUUGUAAACUGCUUUUGUACGGGAAUAAACCUCUUUACGUGUAAAGAGUUGAAUGUACUGUAAGAAUAAGGAUCGGCUAACUCCGUG